rnacentral:rRNA from 1 species
GAUGAACGCUAGCGGCAGGCCUAACACAUGCAAGUCGAGGGGCAGCACGUCUUCGGAUGGUGGCGACCGGCGCACGGGUGCGUAACGCGUAUGCAACCUACCUCUUACAGUGGGAUAGCCCAGAGAAAUUUGGAUUAAUACCGCAUAGUAUACAGAUUCAGCAUUGGGACUGUAUUAAACAUUUAUGGGUAANAGAUGGGCAUGCGUUCUAUUAGUUAGUUGGAGUGGUAACGGCACCCCAAGACCAGCGAUAGAUAGGGGCCCUGAGAGGGGGAUCCCCACACUGGUACUGAGACACGGACCAGACUCCUG